rnacentral:lncRNA from 1 species
CUCGAGCUCGGCUCGAAUUAAUUUCAAGCCGAGCUUGAGCCUAGAUUUAGGCUCGAAAUUAAUUUCAAGCCAAAUUUGAGCUGACAUAAGCUCGCUCGAGCUCGGCUCGUUUCCACCCCUAACAGUACCGGAGCUCUGGUACUAUAGUUUCAUUUUCGAUCUUAAGAUGUUCAAAUCAAUGAUCUAUACUGUUAAAUAUGAUUUAAGAUAUAUAUGAAGUUCUUGGAAAUAAAAUUUAUUUUUUUCAACAUCAUUUACUUACUAGGUAAAUCAUGUCAAAAUGAACGGUGAAAAUUGAACAAUCUUUAAAAUUUGAAUAUAAGA